AGAGUUUGAUCCUGGCUCAGGAUGAACGCUGGCGGCGUGCUUAACACAUGCAAGUCGAACGAACCUUCGGGUUAGUGGCGGACGGGUGAGUAACGCGUGAGAAUCUGCCCUCAGGAGGGGGAUAACGGUUGGAAACGACCGCUAAUACCCCAUAUGCCUACUGGUGAAAUGAAUUUCGCCUGAGGAUGAGCUCGCGUCUGAUUAGCUAGUUGGUGAGGUAAUGGCUCACCAAGGCUUCGAUCAGUAGCUGGUCUGAGAGGAUGAUCAGCCACACUGGGACUGAGACACGGCCCAGACUCCUACGGGAGGCAGCAGUGGGGAAUUUUCCGCAAUGGGCGAAAGCCUGACGGAGCAACGCCGCGUGAGGGACGAAGGCCUCUGGGCUGUAAACCUCUUUUCUCAAGGAAGAAGAUAUGACGGUACUUGAGGAAUAAGCCACGGCUAAUUCCGUGCCAGCAGCCGCGGUAAUACGGGAGUGGCAAGCGUUAUCCGGAAUUAUUGGGCGUAAAGCGUCCGCAGGCGGCUUUUCAAGUCUGCUGUUAAAGCGUGGAGCUUAACUCCAUCAUGGCAGUGGAAACUGAAAGGCUUGAGUAUGGUAGGGGCAGAGGGAAUUCCCGGUGUAGCGGUGAAAUGCGUAGAUAUCGGGAAGAACACCAGUGGCGAAGGCGCUCUGCUGGGCCAUUACUGACGCUCAUGGACGAAAGCCAGGGGAGCGAAAGGGAUUAGAUACCCCUGUAGUCCUGGCCGUAAACG
rnacentral:rRNA from 1 species